AGAUUGAACGCUAGCGGGAUGCUUUACACAUGCAAGUCGAACGGCAGCGCGGACUUCGGUCUGGCGGCGAGUGGCGAACGGGUGAGUAAUAUAUCGGAACGUGCCCAGUAGCGGGGGAUAACUACGCGAAAGCGUGGCUAAUACCGCAUACGCUCUACGGGGGAAAGGGGGGAUCGCAAGACCUCUCACUAUUGGAGCGGCCGAUAUCAGAUUUAGCUAGUCGU
rnacentral:rRNA from 1 species